GCCUUGUUUUGGUAUUCCCCUUUAAGCCUGGCUGAAGAAGCAAAACCAAACGGCGGCUCCAGGGCGAGGCAGGGCGAGGAGAAGGCCAAGCGCAGGCAGGCAUGGCUCUUCUCUCUUCUCUUCGCUCCCUCCCUGCUUCGCGGAAGGCUUCUACUGAACCGGUGUGGUCCCCGCGGGGGGGGGGGGGGGGCGAUCCGAAGACAUCAGAAACAAACGAAAAAAAGCUGCUGGUGGUGCAGGGGGUUAAAAACUGCUGAGCUGCUGAACUUGCUAACUGAAAGGUCAGCAGUUUGUAUCCGGGAAUUCGGGUGAGCCUCUGCUGUUAGCCCCAGCUUCUGCCAACCUAGCAGUUUGAAAAAAUGCAAAUUGUGUCACUCACUCACUCGAAAGCAAAUAAGCUGAAAUUCCACCAUGAAAUAAAUUACAUAAACUUUUCCUCUGAGUAUCAGCCUGGAUCAGGAUUAACAUCAAAAUUACAUCAAAGCAAUCAACAAAUACUCUCAGCAUUCACUAGGGGAGCUGGCAUGGCACAUGAAGCCUAUGGCAAUAUUAUUUC